rnacentral:tRNA from 1 species
GCUUUUGGUUCAGUGGUAGAAUACUCGCCUGCCACGCGGGCGCCCAGGGUUCAAUUCCCGGCCGAUGCA